rnacentral:rRNA from 1 species
AGCAGUCGCCACGGUAAUACGUAGGUCCCGAGCGUUGUCCGGAUUUAUUGGGCGUAAAGCGAGCGCAGGCGGUUAGAUAAGUCUGAAGUUAAAGGCUGUGGCUUAACCAUAGUACGCUUUGGAAACUGUUUAACUUGAGUGCAAGAGGGGAGAGUGGAAUUCCAUGUGUAGCGGUGAAAUGCGUAGAUAUAUGGAGGAACACCGGUGGCGAAAGCGGCUCUCUGGCUUGUAACUGACGCUGAGGCUCGAAAGCGUGGGGAGCAAACAGGAUUAGAUACCCCCGUAGUCCCUGUCUCUUAUACA